CAGUCGACGCAGUAGCAAUACUGAGUGGCGAACGGGUGAGUAUAAUGUGGGUAUCUGCCUUUUGGUUUGGAAUAACACGAGGAAACUUGUGCUAAUACCGGAUAAGCCCUUACGGGGAAAGUUUUAACGCCGAAAGAUGAGCCCGCACUUGAUUAGCUAGUUGGUAGGGUAAAAGCCUACCAAGGCUACGGUCAAUAGCUGAUCUGAGAGGAUGAUCAGCCACAUUGGGACUGAGACACGGCCCAAACUCCUACGGGAGGCAGCAGUAGGGAAUCUUGCACAAUGGGGGAAACCCUGAUGCAGCGAUGCCGCGUGAGUGAAGAAGGCCCUUGGGUUGUAAAGCUCUUUCGUCGGGGAAGAAAAUGACUGUACCCGAAUAAGAAGCACCGGCUAACUCCGUGCCAGCAGCCGCGGUAAUACGGAGGGUGCAAGCGUUAAUCGGAAUUACUGGGCGUAAAGCGUGCGUAGGCGGUUUAUUAAGUCAGAUGUGAAAGCCCCGGGCUUAACCUGGGAACUGCAUUUGAAACUGGUCAACUAGAGUAUGGUAGAGGAAAGUGGAAUUUCUGGUGUAGCGGUGAAAUGCGUAGAUAUCA
rnacentral:rRNA from 1 species